AACGUAGGUGGCGAGCGUUAUCCGGAUUUACUGGGCGUAAAGCGUGUGCAGGCGGGGGUCCAAGUGGUGGAUGAAAUUUCCCGGCUUAACCGGGAAGGGUUAUGCCAGACUGGACUUCUGGAGUGCGAGAGAGGGGCGUGGAAUUCCGGGUGUAGUGGUGAAAUGCGUAGAGAUCCGGAGGAACCCCAGAGGCGAAGGCGGCGCCCUGGCUCGCAACUGACGCUCAGACACGACAGCAUGGGGAGCGAACGGG
rnacentral:rRNA from 1 species